GGAAACUUCCUUUCCUGCCUGCAAAUGUGCCUUCCUCACUCCCGUGCUUCCAUUUUCUGCACUCAAACACCCGAAGGACAUGACGGCCCCUCCAGACUCCCCUGACGCCGCCGGACAGCCAAACCCUCCCUCCCCUUCCCGGACACCUCCGGGACGCCUCGUUCUGCUCCCCAAAGCUCCGGCUCGCUUCCCCGCCUCCCGCCCCGGUCCCUCCCGCGCCCGGGCAGCCCCCCCCGCAUCUCCCCCGCCCCGCCCCGCCCCUCUCGCCGCGGCUGCCGCGGGGUGCGGGCCGGGGGGGCCGCGCCGGGGCCAUGCUGGGCAAGGACUACAUGCUGGCCAUCGUCCUCGUCAACUGCGACGACAACCUCUGGAGUGAUCACAGCCUGGAAACAGACCCCGACCUCCCCCCAGGCUGGAGGAAAAUCCGUGACUCUCUGGGCACCUACUACUGGCAUGUGCCAACUGGCACAACGCAGUGGCAGCACCCCGCAUGCACCACCAGCCCAGGAGGGCACCCGGAGUUUGAUGGAGAGGAGAGACUCCCAGGAAUGGGCUGCCAGGCCCCUGUGGCGAAGCACUCAGCAAAGGACAGGCCCAUUCCCAGCCCCAUGGCUUCACUGUCCCGGAGGGCCUCACUACCCUGGCACGAAGAUGACUUCCAGCAGCAGAGCACAGAGCCUGGCUCCAAGUGCUUUGCUGUGCGCUCGCUGGGCUGGGUGGAGAUUCCUGAGGAGGACUUGGCACCUGGCAAGAGCAGCAUUGCCGUCAACAACUGCAUCCAGCAGCUCUCCAACAGCAAGGGCCAGGGCUCUGUGGAGAACGGGGGCCAGGGCCAGGACCUGGUGAUGAUCCUGAAGAAGGACACCAUGAGCCUCAUGGACCCUCUCGACCACAGUCUCAUCCACCGCCAGCCCAUCCUCAACAUCCGUGUCUGGGGCGUUGGCUGCAACAAUGGCAGGGACAGAGACUUCGCCUUUGUAGCCAGUGACAAGGACACCUGUGUCCUCAAGUGUCACGUCUUCCACUGCAACGUGCCCGCCAAGGGAAUUGCCAAGGCCCUGCAUGAGAUGUGCUCCAAGAUCAUGGCCGAGCGAGCCAUAACAAGCAGCAGGCUGCCGCACAGUGCCACGCUGGAGCCUGUCUCCACCGAGGACCUGCCACUGCAAGUGGAUAUCCUGGAAGCGGUGAGGCAGUCGGUGCAGACCUACGAGGCGCUGUACAUUGGCAGCCUGCCCGUGCCCAGGGCCAUGGGGAUGGAUGUGCUGAACGAGGCAAUUGAGAAGCUGACGAAGGGACCCGGGCGGGAGUGCUGGACACCCGCCCUCAUCCACGUGUCUGACACGGCUAUGAGGGCGCACCCUGUGCAGGAGGACGAGAAUGCGGCACCCAUCUGGGAGUGCCAGGUGCGCUAUGUGACCUUCCUGGGCGUGGGCCGGGACGCCCACACCUUCGCACUCAUCGUGGACGCGGGGCGGCGCUUCCAGUGCACGGCCUUCUGGUGCGAGCCCGACGCCGGCGCCAUCUCGGAGGCAGCACAGGCCGCCUGCGUGGUGCAGUACCAGAAGUGCCUGGCGGCCGCCGUGCCGGGGCCGAAGGCGAAGGGCGCGGCGGGGCGGGGCCGAGCUGGGCUGGCGCCCGCGGGGGGCGGGGCGUGCGGGGCCAGCGGGGCGAGCAAGGCGGGCGGCGGGGGGGCGGGGCCCGGCGCGCGCAGGCCAGGGCUCCGCCCCCUCCUGGCGGCCGCUCGCCUCCGGCGCGCGCUCCUCCACACGCCGUAGGGGCGGGGCCGGGGGCGGGGCCCGGGGACGCCCCGCCUCCCGCUCCGCCCCCGGGCUCCGCGGCGGGGCGGGGGCGCGGGAAGCCCCGCCCCUUCCCCCCGCUCUCCCCCCCCCCCCCCGCCCCGCCCCGCCGGCCGGAAGGGGCGGGGGCGGGGCGUGACGUGGCGGGAUGGCGGAGCUCUACGUGAAGCCGGGUGAGGAGGGAACCAGGAACGUGGCUGGAACGACCCCCCCCAGUUCUCUUACGGGCUGCAGGCGCAGGCUGGGGGGCUCGGGCGAAGCUCGCUGACCCGCCGGGCCCCCCCUCCACCCGCGGGAAC